rnacentral:rRNA from 1 species
GAUGAACGCUGGCGGCGUGCCUAAUACAUGCAAGUCGAGCGAACAGACGAGAGUGUUUGCACUUCCUCACGUUAGCGGCGGGCGGGAGAGAAACACGUGGGAAACCCAUCUAUAAGUGUGGGAUAAUCUCGGGAACCGGGCGAAAACCCGGGAAAAUUUUUAACCGCAUUGGACGAUAGUGAAAAAGGGCUUUUCUAUCUCUUAUAUAGAGGGCUGCGCGGUAUUAGCUAGUUGGUGAGGUAACGGCUUACCAAGGCAACGAUACGUAGCCGACCUGAGAGGGUGAUCGGCCACACUGGAACUGAGACACGGCCCAGACUCCUACGGGAGGCAGCAGUGGGGAAUCUUCCGCAAUGGGCGAAAGUCUGACGGAGCAAUGCCGCGUGAGUGAAGAAGGUUUUCGGAUCGUAAAACUCUGUUAUAAGGGAAGAACAAGUGCGUAAGUAACUGAACGUACCUUGACGGUACCUAACCAGAAAGCCACGGCUAACUACGUG